UACGUAGGGUGCAAGCGUUGUCCGGAAUUAUUGGGCGUAAAGAGCUCGUAGGCGGUCUGUCGCGUCUGCUGUGAAAACUCAGGGCUUAACCCUGAGCUUGCAGUGGGUACGGGCAGACUAGAGUGCGGUAGGGGAGACUGGAAUUCCUGGUGUAGCGGUGAAAUGCGCAGAUAUCAGGAGGAACACCGGUGGCGAAGGCGGGGUCUC
rnacentral:rRNA from 1 species